rnacentral:rRNA from 1 species
UACAGAGACUGCAAGCGUUAUUCGGAUUCACUGGGCGUAAAGGGUGCGCAGGCGGUUGUGUGUGUCAGGUGUGAAAGCCCCGGGCUUAACCUGGGAACUGCAUUUGAUACUACUGAGCUUGAGUACGGGAGAGGAUAGUGGAAUUCCCAGUGUAGAGGUGAAAUUCGUAGAUAUUGGGAAGAACACCGGUGGCGAAGGCGGCUAUCUGGACCGUAACUGACGCUGAGGCGCGAAAGCGUGGGGAGCAAACAGG